rnacentral:rRNA from 1 species
GACGAACGCUGGCGGCGUGCUUAACACAUGCAAGUCGAACGGAAAGGCCCUGCUUGCAGGGUACUCGAGUGGCGAACGGGUGAAUAACACGUGGGUGAUCUGCCCUGCACUUCGGGAUAAGCCUGGGCAACUGGGUCUAAUACCGGCUAGGAGCCAUUUUUAGUGUGAUGGUUGGAAAGUUUUUUCGGUGUAGGAUGAGCUCGCGGCCUAUCAGCUUGUUGGUGGGGUAAUGGCCUACCAAGGCGGCGGCGGGUAGCCGGCCUGAGAGGGUGGACGGCCACCUUGGGUCUGAGAGACGGCCGAGACUGCUACGCGAGGCAGCAGUGGGGAAUAUUGCACGAUGGGCGCAAGCCUGGUGCAGCGACGCCGCGUGGGGGAUGACGGCCUUCGGGUUGUAAACUCCUUUCGCUAGGGACGAAGCUUUUUGUGACGGUACCUAGAUAAGAAGCACCGGCUAACUACGUG